AGAGUUUGAUCCUGGCUCAGGACGAACGCUGGCGGCGUGCCUAAUACAUGCAAGUCGAGCGGACCGACGGGAGCUUGCUCCCUUAGGUCAGCGGCGGACGGGUGAGUAACACGUGGGUAACCUGCCUGUAAGACUGGGAUAACUCCGGGAAACCGGGGCUAAUACCGGAUGCUUGAUUGAACCGCAUGGUUCAAUCAUAAAAGGUGGCUUUUAGCUACCACUUACAGAUGGACCCGCGGCGCAUUAGCUAGUUGGUGAGGUAACGGCUCACCAAGGCGACGAUGCGUAGCCGACCUGAGAGGGUGAUCGGCCACACUGGGACUGAGACACGGCCCAGACUCCUACGGGAGGCAGCAGUAGGGAAUCUUCCGCAAUGGACGAAAGUCUGACGGAGCAACGCCACGUGAGUGAUGAAGGUUUUCGGAUCGUAAAACUCUGUUGUUAGGGAAGAACAAGUACCGUUCGAAUAGGGCGGUACCUUGACGGUACCUAACCAGAAAGCCACGGCUAACUACGUGCCAGCAGCCGCGGUAAUACGUAGGUGGCAAGCGUUGUCCGGAAUUAUUGGGCGUAAAGCGCGCGCAGGCGGUUUCUUAAGUCUGAUGUGAAAGCCCCCGGCUCAACCGGGGAGGGUCAUUGGAAACUGGGGAACUUGAGUGCAGAAGAGGAGAGUGGAAUUCCACGUGUAGCGGUGAAAUGCGUAGAGAUGUGGAGGAACACCAGUGGCGAAGGCGACUCUCUGGUCUGUAACUGACGCUGAGGCGCGAAAGCGUGGGGAGCGAACAGGAUUAGAUACCCUGGUAGUCCACGCCGUAAACGAUGAGUGCUAAGUGUUAGAGGGUUUCCGCCCUUUAGUGCUGCAGCAAACGCAUUAAGCACUCCGCCUGGGGAGUACGGUCGCAAGACUGAAACUCAAAGGAAUUGACGGGGGCCCGCACAAGCGGUGGAGCAUGUGGUUUAAUUCGAAGCAACGCGAAGAGCCUUACCAGGUCUUGACAUCCUCUGACAACCCUAGAGAUAGGG
rnacentral:rRNA from 1 species